rnacentral:rRNA from 1 species
AGAGUUUGAUCUUGCUCAGGACGAACGCUGGCGGCGUGCCUAAUACAUGCAAGUAGAACGCUGACUACUUUAGCUUGCUAGAGUAGAAGGAGUUGCGAACGGGUGAGUAACGCGUAGGUAACCUGCCUACUAGCGGGGGAUAACUAUUGGAAACGAUAGCUAAUACCGCAUAACAGUGUUUAACACAUGUUAGAUGCUUGAAAGAUGCAAAUGCAUCACUAGUAGAUGGACCUGCGUUGUAUUAGCUAGUUGGUGGGGUAACGGCCUACCAAGGCGACGAUACAUAGCCGACCUGAGAGGGUGAUCGGCCACACUGGGACUGAGACACGGCCCAGACUCUACGGGAGGCAGCAGUAGGGAAUCUUCGGCAAUGGGGGCAACCCUGACCGAGCAACGCCGCGUGAGUGAAGAAGGUUUUCGGAUCGUAAAGCUCUGUUGUAAGAGAAGAACGUGUGUGAGAGUGGAAAGUUCACACAGUGACGGUAACUUACCAGAAAGGGACGGCUAACUACGUGCCAGCAGCCGCGGUAAU